AUCAUGACAGUUUUAUUUGUAAUAUCCCCAAAUGCAAGCAAUCCAAAUGCUGAACAGGUAAACAGACAAGCAGAGUGUAGAAUAUAGAAUAUACAAUGGAAUAAACAAUUAUGAACUAGGUAUACCUGCAACGAUAUAAAUGAAUCUCAGAAUAACUAUUGAGUAGGGGAAGCCAGACUGAAGGAAAGAACGGAUGUUCCUUUUUAUGGCCGCUUAGCAUUCCAUGGUGUAUAGGUACCACAUUUUCUUCAUCCAAUCCACUGCUGAUGGGCAUCUAGGUUGAUUCCAUGUCUUUGCUAUUGUAAACAACGCUUUGAUGAACAUAUGGGUGCACGUGCCUUUUUGAUAAAAUGACUUACUUGCCUUUGGGUAUAUACCUAGUAAUGGAUUGCUGGGUCGAAUAGCAGUUCUAAGUGCUUUCAGAAAUCUCCAAACUGCCUUCCACAGUGGCUGAACUAGUUUUUAUUCCCAGCAAGUGUAUAAGGGUUCCCUCUUCCCCGCAGCCUCACAAGCAUUGGUUGUUUAUUGACUUUUUCAUAAUCGCCAUUCUGACCGGUGUGAGACGUUAUCUCAUUGUGGUCAUGUCCUUCGCAGCAACAUGGAUGGCAGCCAUUGUCCUAAGGAAUUAACCCAAGAAUGGGAAACCAAAUAACGCAUGUUCUCACUUAUAAGUGGGACCUAAACAUUGAAUACACAUAGACAUAAAGAUGGGAGCAGCAGACACUGGGGACGACUAGGGAGGGAGGGAGGCAGGGAGGGAGUGGAACAGAACGUGGGCUGAAAAACUACUACUCACUACCUGGGUGACUGGAUCAUCUGUACCCCAACCUUCAGCACCCUGCAAUAUACUCAUGAAACAAACCUGCACAUGUACCCUUUAAUCUAAAAUAAAAGUUGAAAUUGUUUUUUUAAAAAAGAGCACAUAGUAUAUUAUUCCAUUUACAUAAAAUUUUAGAAAACACAAAUGAAUGUGUUGACAAAUCAGUGGUUGCCUGGAGAAGGGGGAGUGCAGAGAGGUACAUGGGGAAUAAAUUAUAAAGGGACUGGAGGAGAUGUUUGGAGGUGGUGAAUGUGUUCACUAUGUUGAUUGCGGUGAUGAUUUCAUGGACGUACACAUCUGUAGAAACGUUGGUGUGUACAUAUGUUGUAUUCUCAAAUUGUCCACUCUGAGUACGAGCAGUGGGGAUUAAGAGGAAAAUAAUAGUAGAGAACAAAAUCAGAGCUUGGCAUGGCUCUCUGCUGGCACCGUGCAGGGUGUGAUUACAUCAGAUCUGUGCAACUCAGAUCUUGGGGAGGGGUUGGGGGGUGGAAGGUGGAGGGAGGAAGGGAGAGAAAACAGAGGGCGGGAAGAAGGGAAGGAAGUGAAGAAGGGAAUGAGGGACGGAAAGAGAGAGACAGCGAAGAGAGGAGAAAGAGUUUCAGAAUUUGGCAAAAGUCUCAAGGCUCAAGCUGGUUGUCUGAAGCCUUUCAAACCCCCAGUUUUAUCACCACAUAUGAGCUCUUAGCAUAUGAAACUGCAGCUAGGACUAAAACCAGAGGAAGGCACACAGAAUCUUGACUGCUCUUCAGAAAUACAUGGCACUCCGUUAAAAUGAAGAUUUUUGCUGCUCACUCCAGAAAUAUUGAAUCAAAACGUGGAGCAGGAGACAGGCAAGGCCAGUGAAGGAGUGUGGCUCCGAUAGGAUUGACAACUACUACCUUAGAUGAUGAAUCAAGCUCAGAAGGGAUCCCUCUGGAUUUCCCUGCGGUGAAGAAACCGAGGCAAUGAACAAAGUAAUAUACCCAAGAUCACAUUGCCAGUGAAUGGGAGAGCUGACGUUUCAAUCUACACAGAACCUGUGCUCUUAGCUAUCUAACCGCUUUACUUGGAAGUGAUGUGAGAUUAAAAAAAGAAGAAAAACAAAAUAUUUUCUUAUGCUUUCAAAAAGUUCAAAAGUAAGUUACAAGAUUUAUGCUGCAUUUUAAUCUAUGAUCUUGAUUACUCAUCAAUUGGAUUAUGUACCCACUUUUUUUUUUUUUUUUUUUUUGAGAUGGAGUCUCACUCUGUCUCCCAGGCUGGAGUGGAGUGCAGUGGUGUGAUCUUGGCUCACUGCAACCUCCACCUCUCUGGUUCAAGCAAUUCUCCCACCUCAGCCUCCCAAGUGGCUGGGGUUACAGGCCCACACCACCACGCCCAGCUAAUUUUUGUAUUUUUAGUAGAGACAGGGUUUUGCCAUGUUGGUUAGGCUGGUUUCAAUCUCCUGACCUCAGGUGAUCCUCCCACCUCAGCCUCCCAAAGUGCUAGGAUUCCAGUCAUAAGCCACUGUGCCCGGCCUGUAUUCACUAUUUAUUUUUAUUUUUUGAAAUUUUUGUGGGUACCCAGUAGGUGUAUACAUAUAUAUAUUUUAACUCUUGAAAAUUUUUGAAUAUUCACUAUUUUAUAACUCCAUACAAGUAUUUUAAACUAAUUUUCUGGUUUUUCUAGUUAUUAAUUUUUUUACCUUAACUCAAAUAAAGAAUAAUUUAAAAGGUGAAGUGUUACAAGUUAAGAGACUCAAGUUCUAGUCUUGGCUUUGCCAUGAAAUUACUGUGUGAAUUUGGUCUAGGCUUUGGUUUCCUCAUGUUUGUUAGCAUGUUCCUCUCUUUAGCUAAAACAGUUCAGUGUAUGUAAAGUGUCAUUCUAUGAACUGAAGAGAUCCUGCCUGUUGAGUUGCAGAUGGCUGGGCAGGUUGCCAAGGGGCUGGUUUCUCCAUGCUGGCUUUUGUGUCUGCAUGCUACAGUUCCCCCCGCACGUCUUGACUACUCACCAGCACAAGAUAUCACACAGACAUGCUUGAGCUGGCCAGGAUCCAGGAUGAUAUUUAGAAAGAAGAGAAUAAAAGCUUAAGGAUGAUCAAGUCCUCUUAAGUAAUAUUAAACAAAAGCAUACUAUUUUCCUUCUAAUUUCCUCUCAAGGCACUUCUCAUGUUAGCAAAGAAAAUGACAAGAUGAGUGUCAGCCUGUCAUAUUUUCUGAUGUAAUGUAUGGGCUAGUAGCUCAUCACAAAAUCAACCAUUUUAUAGGAACUAGAUAAGUUUCAGUGCCAAGCCUUGUUCUCAAGCAGCAGGAUGCCUGCUAAGCAGGGUCCAUAUAAGCUAGAGUUUUGAAAUUAUAGUGAUAUUUUUAUUUUAAGGCAUUCAAGAGCAAAAGCAAAUAGUGGAAGGUUCUCAUUCAUCAAAUGCAAUGACCUUAUUGUUUAGAAAAAAUAAGAUGUGACUAUUACCAAAAAUGCUAUUUUAAAAGUAUAAUCACCUUCUUUUCAGUCUGCCAUGAAAAUUCAUGGAGACCAAAAAUGAUUAAUACAUUAUUUUGUAACUUGCUACCCAAAACAGGGUGGUUUGUUUUCCAAAUUUUGUAUUCUUUGCAUAUUUAAAGUUACUUACUGAGAGUUUUCCAUGUGUAAGGAAUUGAAGGAACAAACUCACAAUCUCUGUUACAAGAUUUAAAAGAAAUUUUUGGAGGCACAUGAACAUCUGCAAUUUCAUUUGUAAAGUAUCCAAGAAUCUGUCGCCUUAGUAACAAUCAAAUGCAUUAAAUGCUAAACGCUGAUUAAAUAGAGUUGAAAAUGGAUUUGUUAGUUAUCCCUCUAAGAAUUUUAACUCCAGCCGCUAGCCCUCUCCUCCCCUUUGCAAUGCAACUAUGCCUUCAAAUAGUGUUCUUUAAAAGGAGGCUUUACGGCUUUGGAGGAAUAAGCUGAUUUCACAGCCAGUUUUGCCACUGCUGUGGAAAACAGAGUACACAUGCAAGACUGCUGAAGUCAUACAAACUGCAAGGAUUAUGGCUGUGGGGGCCUCCACAACUCCUGUCAAACUGCAAUUGGAAACAGCUUCUCCAAAGGACAACAUGAGAAAUCAGGAAUUCUUGUCCAUGGCUCCCCAACCUGCUGGGUUUCUAAUCAGGCCUGGCAUGACCCAUUAGAGAUCAGACAUAGGAAAAUCACAAUGAAACUAGGGUAUCUUCUGUUUUCCAAGCUUCACUCCCCCAGAUCCUUUUCAAGCCUGUAAUUAUUGUCUCUCACCAGUUAAUAAGGGAACCGUUUCUCCAUGGGGACAGGAGCUUCUGGAAGGCUGGACCCAAUCAUUACAGGCUCAGUCCAGGGCCUUUCCUUCACACCAACUACUGCAGCCACUCCCAGAGCCCCUGGAACUCCGGCCCAAGGCUCUCUGACUGACUCCUUCCCAGAUCUUCUCGGCUUAGCAGCUGAAGACUGACACUGCCCGAUCACCUCGGAAGCCCCCUAGACCAUCACGGACGCCGAGCUGCCAGUAACUCUCACAGUGGAAGGUAAGCCCAUCCCCUUCUUAAUCAAUACGGAGGCUACCCACUCCACAUUACCUUCUUUACAAAGGCCUGUUUCCCUUGCCUCCAUAACUGUUGUGGGUAUUGACGGCCAGGCUUCUAAAUCUCUUAAAACUCCCCAACUCUGGUGCCAACUUAGACAAUACUCUUUUAAGCACUCCUUUUUAGUUAUCCCCACCUGCCCAGUUCCCUUAUUAGGCCGAGACACUUUAACUAAAUUAUCUGCUUCCCUGACUAUUCCUGGGCUACAGCCACACCUCAUUACUGCCCUUCUUCCCAAUCCAAAGCCUCCUUUGCGUCCUCCUCUUGUAUCCCCCUACCUUAACCCACAAGUAUAAGAUACCUCUACUCCCUCCUUGGUGACCGAUCAUGCACCCCUUACCAUCUCAUUGAAACCUAAUCACCCUUACCCCGCUCAACGCCAAUAUCCCAUCCCACAGCAUGCUUUGAAAAGACUAAAGCCUGUUAUCACUCUCCUGCUACAGCAUGGCCUUUUAAAGCCUAUAAACUCUCCUUACAAUUCCCCCAUUUCACUUGUCCUAAAACCAGACAAGCCUUACAAGUUAGUUCAGGAUCUAUGCCUUAUCAACCACAUUGUUUUGCCUAUCCACCCCAUGGUGUCAAACCCAUAUACUCUCCUAUCCUCAAUACCUCACUCCAUAAUCCAUUAUUGUGUUCUGGAUCUCAAACAUGCUUUCUUUACUAUUCCUUUGCACCCUUCAUCCCAGCCUCUUUUCACUUUCACUUGGACUGACCCUGACACCCAUCAGGCUCAGCAAAUUACCUGGGCUGUACUGCCCCAAAGCUUCACAGACAGCCCCCA
rnacentral:lncRNA from 10 species